rnacentral:rRNA from 1 species
GGACUACCCGGGUUUCUAAUCCUGUUUGCUACCCACGCUUUCGUGCCUCAGCGUCAGAAGCGGUCCAGUAAGCUGUCUACACCACAGGUGUUCCUCCUGAUAUCUACGCAUUUCACCGCUACACCAGGAAUUCCGCUUACCUAUCCCACCCUCUAGCACUCUAGUUUCCGCUGCACCCUCCCAGUUAAGCCGGGAGAUUUCACAACAGACUGGGAGCACCGCCUACGCACUCUUUACGCCCAGUAAUUCCGAACAACGCUUGCUGCCUACGUAUUACCGCGGCUGCUGGCAC